CAUUUUGGUUCGCAUUGCAAAACCAAACCGAAAUAAAUCGAGCCGUUCUCACCCUUGCUAGAAUCAUAAUUUGAUGUAAUUUUUUAAUGAUUUAAAAACGCAAGCAGUGAUGUAAUUUUUUUGAAUUCUUGCCGCCCGGGUGGCGCAAACCACUAAAUCGGCGCGGAGAGCAACGACAAAGUGGAGCUUCGUGGCUUUCCUGUCGAGUAAAUUGUCGCCGAAGUCAUAUGCUUCUUUCCUCUUCUUACUUUUCGAUCUCGUGAGAUCGAUACGACCUUCGCCUGAGAAAGGAACCGAAGAAAACUCACAGCUGCUAUGAAAUAUAUCCUGAAACUUUGCAAGGACACAAGUCUAAAACAAACAGGAGGGAUUCAGAGACCCAUGCUGCGAUGGGUUUUGAGCGAGCCUCUUCUCUAUUCUGUGCCUCGCUUUUCCUUCUCUUCUGUCCAUGGUUUCGAGCCCGCCUCUGCGUCUGAUGCUGAGUUUGGGUUUGGCUUAGCAAGGUAAAGAAGAUAUCGAGAGUCGAACUCUGAAUUUUAUCCUGAUCUGGACAAAACGAAUGCGAGAAUCAAACUCUUAACUUUAUACUGAUGUCAACCAAGAGAAGAUCGAGAGGCGAGCACUUAAUCUAAUCACAUCUUUGAUGUGAAUCCAUCCUUCCACAACUGAUAUCAACCAAGAAAAGAGCGAGAAACGAGCUCUUAACUUGGUCGCAUCUUUGAUGUAAAUCUCCCCUUCCACAAUAUCCAAUGACAACAAAUGCAAUGUGAACGUGCAUUUGGGGGUGUAAGGUAAUGAUGAAUUGAAUGAGGUCAGUGGGUAUGUAGGUUUGUUUGUCCACAAGUUGUGUGUCCAGUUCAAACCCAUUUGUCCUUCCUAUAUAAUUAUAUCUAUAACUUUAGUAUAAUCUUUAAUUAUUUUAAGAAAAACAAGUAGAAGAGGAAAAAAACCAAUUGGCCCAUGCAUGGCUCGUUCUCCUUGUCCCCCUGCACUCUUAAUAAUGCAAAUGUGACGACGAUGCUAAUAUAUCGUUUCGCUUAA